CCACAGUUAAUCAGUGAUUUCCUCAGAUGUCCACAUGCUCCUACGGGGAGUUGCUGAGUCAGCCCAGACCGGAAGGAGUGGCAGAGAUCAUUUGCCCCAAGAACGGCAGCGAGCGAGUAAAUGUUGCCUUGGUUUACCCACCCACGCCGACUGUGAUCAGCCCCUGUUCCAAGAAGAAUGUUGGUGAAAAGCACAGAAACCAGUGACGUUUGUGGCUGUGGAAUUUCCAUGGAGAAAAGAGAGCAUCUGAACACCUGGACCAUCUUUUGCACCUGGCAGACCCUCUGCACUCACCCCAGCGUGUUCUGUGAACUUGAGUGACAACGCGUGCUUGCAGGGUGCUUUUUGGACGACUGGGGAAGAGGUGGGGAGGGGGUGGUGGGGGGAAGCAUGGACGAGAACAUGGAGCAAAUGUUUUACAACCUGAACCUCAGAACUGUGAUC
rnacentral:lncRNA from 1 species